UUCAACAUGAAACUUAGAGGGGACAAACAUUAAACCACAUUGGAGCAGGGAACCGAUUCUGGGAUGACUCCAGGUCUUUGUGUUAUAUCGACCUGCCAGAACAAUAAAUCUGAGAAACCCUGUGCUCCAGCAGGUGCUGGAGGGAAGGAAUGAGGUCCUGUGCGUUUUGACACAGAAGAUCAUGACGAUGCAGAAGUGUGUGAUCUCUGAGCACACGCAGGUCGAGGAGAAGUGUGGUGGCAUCGUGGGCAUCCAGACCAAGACGGUGCAGGUAUCAGUGACGGAGGAUGGGAAUGUCACCAAGGACUCCAACGUGGUGCUGGAGAUCCCAGCUGCCACCACCAUUGCCUACGGUGUCAUUGAGUUAUACGUGAAACUGGACGGCCAGUUCGAGUUCUGCCUUCUCCGAGGGAAGCAAGGUGGCUUCGAGAACAAGAAGAGAAUUGACUCUGUCUACCUGGACCCCCUGGUCUUUCGAGAGUUUGCAUUCAUAGACAUGCCAGAUGCUGCGCAUGGGAUAUCUUCCCAGGAUGGACCAUUAAGUGUUUUAAAGCAAG
rnacentral:sRNA from 1 species